rnacentral:rRNA from 1 species
CACGUAGGGGCCAAGCGUUGUCCGGAUUCAUUGGGCGUAAAGAGCUCGUAGGCGGUUCAGUUAGUCGGGUGUGAAAUCUCCGGGCUCAACCCGGAGGGGCCACCCGAUACUGCUGUGACUUGAGUCCGGUAGGGGAGUGGGGAAUUCCUGGUGUAGCGGUGAAAUGCGCAGAUAUCAGGAGGAACACCGGUGGCGAAGGCGCCACUCUGGGCCGGUACUGACGCUGAGGAGCGAAAGCGUGGGUAGCAAACAGG